rnacentral:tRNA from 1 species
GGUGAGGUGGCUGAAAUUAGGUGAUAGACUGUAAAUCUAUUUAUGAGGAUUCCUCCUCUCUUACCA